rnacentral:rRNA from 1 species
UACGUAGGGUGCGAGCGUUAAUCGGAAUUACUGGGCGUAAAGCGCGCGCAGGCGGUUUUGUAAGCCAGAUGUGAAAUCCCCGGGCUUAACCUGGGAAUGGCAUUUGGGACUGCAAGGCUCGAGUGCGGCAGAGGAGACUGGAAUUCCUGGUGUAGCAGUGAAAUGCGUAGAUAUCAGGAGGAACACCGAUGGCGAAGGCAGGUCUCUGGGCUGACACUGACGCUCAUGCACGAAAGCGUGGGGAGCAAACAGG